GCCGGGGUGGCGGAAAUGGUAUACGCGCCCCUCUCGCCAUGCGCCCGAUUGCGUUAUCGGACGUAUGGCAAUGGGGUGGCCUUCAGGUCGUGCGGGUUCGAUCCCCGUCCCCGGCACCA
rnacentral:tRNA from 1 species